GGUCUUUCCUUUGUACAGAGGGAGAAGAGUUACAGUGGUGGACUUCCUUGAGGAGCAGAGGCUGGAUGAAGGGGCAACAUUUUAAGUGCCCAGAUCUUCAAGAGCUCUGCCCCAUGCACAGCAGAUAAAAAGGAAACAUUUGUGGCUGGUGAUGUCCAGAGGUCUGGAGCAGUCAAGGCAUGGCUGUCAAGUCUUCACCUGGGGAAGCAGCUGUGAUCCAGAACGGUGUUUACCUGUGAAGGAUGAAGGAGGACAGCCACUCUGAUUACUGCUGAGAGUUGAAUUUAGGUGUGCAGGCUCUGAUAACCCAAGCUGGAAGCUGGCCAAGGACGCUAAGCAGCCAAUGAAACCAGUGGUGUCUGGAUGUUUGCUGUGUGGCUCUGGCAUCUGAAUGGGGACAAAGAUUGAAGAGACUCAGGCUCCAGACUCUGGAAAAGGGACAAAAGGCUGUUGAAAUGUCAGAUGGUGAAAACAAGCAAGAACUCCAGAUGGAGCAACUGGAAGAGAAACACGACAAAGAUGGUAAUGGGAAAGCUUCAGAUUCACACUUGAUUGGGAGUCCCAUGCUUGGGAUUGGGAGUCCCCACCUGUGGCUUCUAAAGCCACUCUCUGUGCAAGCCCUUGUGCAAAGCAGUGUGCCAUGAGGAAGUUCUUCAUUAUUAUGGGAGAUGGAAAGACUUCAGCAGCCUGAUCUUUCUCGCUCCCUGCAACAUCUGGAGCCGACUGAUGUGUGAGGUUGAAUCAAUCAUCUGUUCAGAGCGGCAUCUGACCACCUAUUUGAUGAUGCUUAAAUACACCCCGCGGAAAGUACUUCUUUUACUCGUGGCUGUUUUCUAGACCAAAGCCAUGUGUGGACAUUUCCCAGUGCCUAAGGCGAGGGGCGAAGGGCCGGAG